GUGCUCACUUUGGCAGCACAUAUACUAAAAUUGGAACGAUACAUAGAAGAUUAGCACGGCCUCUGCACAAGGGUGACAAAUAAAUUCUUGAAGCAUUCUAUUUAAAA
ensembl:snRNA U6 U6 spliceosomal RNA